GUGAGACAGUUCGGUCUCUAUCUAUUGUGGGCGUAGGAAAUUUGAGGAGCUCUGACACUAGUACGAGAGGACCGUGUUGGACGAACCUCCUGUGCAUCGGUUGUUCCGCCAGGGGCACUGCCGAGUAGCAGCGUUCGGAUUGGAUAAGCGCUGAAAGCAUCUAAGCGCGAAGCCAACUCCAAGAUUAGAUUUCCAUUGAGGGUCGUUGUAGACUACGACGUUGAUAGGCUGCAGGUGUACAAUGGUGACAUAAAGCCGAGCAGUACUAAUUGCCCGAAAUCUUUUUCUAA
rnacentral:rRNA from 1 species